CUUUUCUUUUGUUUGUUAUUUUCUUUGAAUAAGAGGAUUGAGAGUUUUUGAAUAUUGUGAAAUAAAUUAUGGAAUGGAAAUGUGAUUGGUAUUAUUUGAGAAGAAGAAAGAUUGAAUGCUGAAAUCUGAUUGUAGUUCAGCAGAGAGAAUGAGUAUGUGUUUGUGUGAAACACCGUAAUGUGAAUGGCAAUUUUGUGUGAAGAAUUCCACUGAUUGGAAUGAGGGUAAUUGUGU
rnacentral:lncRNA from 1 species